GUUGUAUGGUUAAGUGACUAAGCGUACACGGUGGAUGCCUGGGCAGUCAGAGGCGAUGAAGGACGUACUAACUUGCGAUAAGCGCAGAUAAGGCAGUAAGAGCCGUUUGAGUCUGCGAUUUCCGAAUGGGGAAACCCAACUGCAUAAGCAGUUACUGUUAACUGAAUACAUAGGUUAACAGAGCAAACCGGGGGAACUGAAACAUCUAAGUACCCCGAGGAGAAGAAAUCAACCGAGAUUCCGGUAGUAGCGGCGAGCGAACCUGGAUUAGCCCUUAAGCACUCGGUGAAGUAGGUGAACAAGCUGGAAAGCUUGGCGAUACAGGGUGAUAGCCCCGUAACCGACGCUUCAUCGAGCGUGAAAUCGAGUAGGGCGGGACACGUGAUAUCCUGUCUGAAUAUGGGGGGACCAUCCUCCAAGGCUAAAUACUCCUGACUGACCGAUAGUGAACCAGUACCGUGAGGGAAAGGCGAAAAGAACCCCUGUGAGGGGAGUGAAAUAGAACCUGAAACCGUGUACGUACAAGCAGUAGGAGCACCUUCGUGGUGUGACUGCGUACCUUUUGUAUAAUGGGUCAGCGACUUAUAUUCAGUGGCAAGGUUAACCGUAUAGGGGAGCCGUAGCGAAAGCGAGUCUUAACUGGGCGCUCAGUCUCUGGAUAUAGACCCGAAACCGGGUGAUCUAGCCAUGGGCAGGUUGAAGGUUGAGUAACAUCAACUGGAGGACCGAACCGACUAAUGUUGAAAAAUUAGCGGAUGACUUGUGGCUAGGGGUGAAAGGCCAAUCAAACUCGGAGAUAGCUGGUUCUCCCCGAAAGCUAUUUAGGUAGCGCCUCGGACGAAUACUACUGGGGGUAGAGCACUGUUAAGGCUAGGGGGUCAUCCCGACUUACCAACCCUUUGCAAACUCCGAAUACCAGUAAGUACUAUCCGGGAGACACACGGCGGGUGCUAACGUCCGUCGUGGAGAGGGAAACAACCCAGACCGCCAGCUAAGGUCCCAAAGUAUUGCUAAGUGGGAAACGAUGUGGGAAGGCUCAGACAGCUAGGAUGUUGGCUUAGAAGCAGCCAUCAUUUAAAGAAAGCGUAAUAGCUCACUAGUCGAGUCGGCCUGCGCGGAAGAUGUAACGGGGCUAAGCAAUACACCGAA
rnacentral:rRNA from 1 species